AGAAUGUCUGCUACUAGGAGCCUCUCUCUCCAGAAAACACAUUUCAACUAUAACGGUGUUACACAACUCUGAAUUUCGAGCCUAAACAAGAUUUCUCAGGCUCUACAACAAAUCUCUGAAUGGAAGAAGGAAUUAUUUCUGUGUAAAAAUGGAUAAAAUGUUGUUCCUGUUGCCCCGAUCAAGAGGAAAGGCGGAAAGAGAAGCCACAAAGUAAGGAACCAAAAUAUGGAUGGAAGCUUCAGUCUGACCUAGUUUGGGAUUUAAGCCAUACUACUGUUGGCUGUCUGAAACCUUUUCAAGGGCAAGUUGUAAAGGAAAAUAAAUGCUUGUGAGGAUG
rnacentral:lncRNA from 1 species